rnacentral:tRNA from 1 species
GCCUUCGUAGUGUAGUGGUCAGUACACUAGACGCGUAUUCAAGAAGUCCGUGGUUCGAGUCCCAGCGAAGACA